UCCAAAAACCAGGAAAGGACCCUACACUCCCAUCGAGUUAUAGACCAAAUCAUUGACUCGAUCCAAAUAUUAUACAGUGCAGCAAACGCCGCAGUCAGAACAAACAACCAGAUCUCACCAAGGUUUAAUCUGCAUAGAGGGACAAGACAGGGCUGCCCACUUUCCCCAUCACUAUUUGCAGUAUUUAUUAAACCUCUAGCUGCAGGAAUAAGACAGCAUGAAGGAAUUACUGGAAUAUCGACCAAAUCAGUAAAUCAUAAAAUAAGUUUAUAUGCUGACGAUGUGUUACUGUUUCUCUUGGAGCCACAGACGUCUCUUCCUACAACUAUUAGCCUCAUAGAUGAAUUCUCAGGACUUUCAGAGUACUCUAUUAACUGGACCAAAUCUAUAGUGCUACCACUUAACCUUAAGGUGACUAACAUCUCUUCUACCACACUCCAUUAAGGGAACAUUAAAUACUUGGGCAUUGAAUUGUCGUCUAGGCUAUCAGAGCUUAUUGAUCCAGACUACAAUCCAAUAUUAUAUACCCCUUGGCAAAGCUGUCCAUCACAAUAUGGCAUUCAGCGUUUCCCUUCGAAUAAACCUUUUUCCGAAAGAAAAAACAAAAAGUUUUCGGUUUCAGAACAGCUGAGUUGGCUUAAGCAACUCCGAGUAGAUUGACUCAGAGUUAAGUGCGUGCACCGCAACGAUACAAAGCUCUGAUCAAUGGAGUGAAGAUAUUAGAAGUCACUAUGGGAACAGGACAACAAAAGAGGUCCGGAAAUGCAUAUGAUACCUCAAGCAUAUAGCGACUACGAGCCUAUAUUUGGUAGAAAAAGCAACACGGCUGCAGCGGCGAAAGAGAGAGAAUUAGCUUGGAAGAAAAUAGCUGCUCGAGUCAAUGCAUAAGUUUACAUUUUAAUCAUACAGUGUUAGGUGUAACUAAUUACUAAAGAAUGUUAGUAUUGUUGUUAUAAUUCACUUGUAAAGUAAGGUCUUGUAAAGUAAUUGUUCACUCAUCUAAGGAGUUACUUCAGUAAUUGCAUAAAAUACAGAUUUUUGUAUGAAUUAAAGUGCAGUGUUAUGUCUAUGCGUUUUUAAAGUUCCUGUUGUGGUUGAUGUGGGAUUUGUAAAGUAAUGAUAAUUCAAUAAUCCAAUCCAUUUUAUGGAGAGCAAUUAUUACUUUAAUCUAAUUAGGUUUUUAAAUGUUACCCAAAACUCAUGUAAAAUAUAAGAAUUUAAUUUAAAUUUUUAUGUAGGCGCAAUCCUGCAGGCAUAAAAAGAAAAUGACUAAAAAUGAAAUAUAAAAACAUAAUUCAAACAGGUAUAAGGCACCAUCAUAUCACCGGUGUAGACUACCUGACUUUACAACAUUAGACAUAUUAAAUAACUAAAUAGCAUGCAGAGUAUAGCGGUGCAGCAGCAUUUUCAACAUGGCUGUAAUGUUUUCACACAGUUAAAUCUUUUGACUUCUACUCAGCCAACAGAAAGAAGGCAGAGGCUAGAACAACUGGUGGAGGACCUGCACCUCCACCUCUGACGCAUGCAGAGGAGAAGGCCCUCAGACUGAACACUGGAAAGCAGAGGCUGAAAGAAUUCCUGGAGACUACUUUUGAUAUAUCCAUUUCUUGGAGUCUGGGUUGGGUUCCUUGUUGGUCUUAACAGAUUCUGAUGGUAAUAUAUGAAUCCUCCUUUCACAACAGAAAGUGUGGUAGAACAGCAGGAGGAGGGUCCGUCACAUUCUGCUGAGAAGAUGCAAGCAGUUCAGUGAUGUUCAGUAAAUGUCAGGGUUCAAUUCUGUAAGAGUAAUAAGGAACUAUGUCAUGUAACUCUAAAUCUUCUGUAUUUUCAGUUACCGGUUAAGGAGUUGUAAAAACUACAUCUUAUCAAGAAAAUAGAAUAGAGAAAUAGAAUAAAAUAACAAGGAAAUGUUAUAGUUGGACAGCCAGAUUGAAAAGACAGAUAUAGAAAUGGAAAUUCUCAAA